CCCUUAGAUGUUCUGGGCCGCACGCGCGCUACACUGACACGUUCAUCAAGUCUAUAACCUUGACCGAGAGGUCUGGGUAAUCUUUUAAAAACGUGUCGUGCUGGGGAUAGAUUAUUGCAAUUAUUAAUCUUCAACGAGGAAUUCCUAGUAAACGCAAGUCAUCAACUUGCAUUGAUUACGUCCCUGCCCUUUGUACGCACCGCCCGUCGCUACUACCGAUUGAAUGAUUUAGUGAGUACCAGGGACCGAGCGCUUUGGUUGGGUUUCCUUCCCUAGCGCUUGGGAACUGUCGCAAACUUGACCAUUUAGAGGAAGUAAAAGUCGUAACA
rnacentral:rRNA from 1 species